rnacentral:rRNA from 1 species
GCGCGAAACCUCUGCAAUAGGCGAAAGCCUGACAGGGUUACUCUGAGUGGUUCCCGCUAAGGGGAUCUUUUGGCACCUCUAAAAAUGGUGCAGAAUAAGGGGUGGGCAAGCCUGGUGUCAGCCGCCGCGGUAAUACCAGCACCCCGAGUGGUCGGGACGAUUAUUGGGCCUAAAGCAUCCGUAGCCGGUCAUGCAAGUCUUCCGUUAAAUCCAGCCGCUCAACGGUUGGGCUGCGGAGGAUACUACGUGGCUAGGAGGCGGGAGAGGCAAGCGGUACUCAGUGGGUAGGGGUAAAAUCCUUUGAUCCAUUGAAGACCACCAGUGGCGAAGGCGGCUUGCCAGAACGCGCUCGACGGUGAGGGAUGAAAGCUGGGGGAGCAAACCGGAUUAGAUACCCGGGUAGUCCCAGCUGUAAACGAUGCAGACUCGGUGAUGGGAUGGCCUCGAGCUAUCCCAGUGCCGCAGGGAAGCCCGUUAAGUCUGCCCGCCUGGGGGAUACGGUCGCAAGACUGAAACUUAAGGAAGUU